rnacentral:rRNA from 1 species
UACGUAGGGCGCAAGCGUUGUCCGGAAUCAUUGGGCGUAAAGAGCGUGUAGGCGGCUUGGCAAGUCUGACGUGAAAGCCCGCGGCUCAACCGCGGAUUGUCGUUGGAAACUGCCUCGCUAGAGUCCGGAAGAGGAGAGCGGAAUUCCUGGUGUAGCGGUGGAAUGCGCAGAUAUCAGGAAGAACACCCGUGGCGAAGGCGGCUCUCUGGGACGGUACUGACGCUGAGACGCGAAAGCGUGGGGAGCGAACAGG